GUGCUCACUUAGGCAGCACAUAUACUAAAAUUGGAACGAUACAGAGAAGAGUAGCACGGCCCUGUGCAAGGAUGGCACACGAAUUCGCGAAGCGUUCUAUACUUAA